CAAAUUUCCCUCUUAAUUUCCCCAUUUUUUUUUCCCUCUGCCUUUCCCCCAUUUCUUUCAUUUCCUUUUAGGUUUGUAGAGCCCUUAAUUUCACGACAUUGUUUCAAAACAGUGAGCAAACCUUAAUCUGAGAGAGGGAAGAUAAAGGGUUUGAAGAGAGACUGGGGUUGAAGGGGAAGGGUUUCAAUCGGCGGUGAGACUGGUUCAACAGCGGCGAGACUAGUUCGGUGGCGAGACGGUACGCUUCUUUUGACUCUUCUUUCGACUCUCUCAUUCCAGUCGGUUCCUCUAUUGACUGGGUUGAAAUGGUUCCUCUAUAUCUCUAUGUUGCCCCCACCGCCAUAGCUUAUUAGUGGUGGUGGUUGUUUUCUGCGAGCAUCGGUAAUGUCGCAGAAGCGGCAGCAAGAGGACUCCAAGGGCCGUUCGGAGGGCAAUGGGUCCGGUGAAAAGCGUCGCAAACAGCCUUCUUUCAGAAGGUCUCUCUCUCUCUCUCUCUGUGAAACAAAUUGGAACAUCAUUAUGUUUUGACUCUACCUUACAGACAAACUGGAUCGAGUUAAUCUUCUAAACAUAGACAUUGGUCAAUUGUAUAGGGAGUUCAAUGAAAAUAUUAUCACUGACCCAGGUUAUGUGGAUAUAUUUCCGGCAUCAUGUAUCCCAAAACAGUUGCACCAUCUUGUUAAGCCAAUUUAUCGUUCCACACCCAGUGCAUCUAGGGAAUCAUUAAAUUCAAGAGGUGCUAACAUGAAGGAAAAAGGAUUCUGAAUACUAACGGAGCCAAGUAAUUUGUCCUCUGUUCUACAGUGGGCAUUAGAUUCUGAGGUCGGCUUUCACCUUCAUGCCUGCACGUUUGCAGCAGCAUGAAGUCAAGAGAGGGAGAUGUUAAUAAGAUAACUUGGUUAGUUAGCAAAUCUCCAUGCUUGAAUUGAGGUAUGUUUAGUGUGUUUAGAAGAUGAUGGGGAUGCCAUCACUAUUUUUGAUGUUUUACGAAGCAUUUUGGUUGUCAUACCAUCAAGUUGUGAUAGGGGAUGUUAAAGAGACCUUCAUCUUAUGGUAAAUUUAUAUGGUUGAAUUAGGAUCACUUUAAUAAGGUAGAAGAGUCAUCCUUGCUUUUCGAAGUUCUUCUAACGGCAACUAGAAUCCUUUGUUUGAUUUCAAUUACUCACCCAACACUCAUGGUUUAUGUUCCUAUAUUUAGGAUUCACUAUUUGCAAAAUAGUUGCUAUAUUUGUGUGAAUAAAUGAGUAUUUACUUUUGAGUGGUUUGAGUAUGGGAGUCUAGUGGUGGGAUGCAACAAGUUAAACUUCCUACUUGCAUAGCACUUGAAAUCAAGGGAAUUUUUAUUUAUUUAUUUUCGGGGUAUGCUGGUGAAGAUCCUUAUCCUCUUCAAUGUUGAAAAUGUUACAUAGAAUUAUUUUAUUGCUUCAUCAUUUGACUAGCAAUCUGUUGCUUAUUUUCUUAAUGCACUCUAGUUCUGUUCUCAUUUUUCCUCUAAACCUGUGUUUAGCUUGCUUAAAAUCAUACAUCAAAUGGCAUGUAAUGGCCUUGUUUGAUAACUUUUUUUAAUAGUCUUUUCCCCCCUGAAUGUUUCUUCUAGAGCACAUCAUGUAUCCCAAAGUUCACAUUGCACUAAGACUGUCAGGUCAUCUUCGACUGGGCGUUGUUCGGAUAUAUUCAAAGAAAGUUAACUAUCUGUACCAAGACUACAAUUUUUUUCUGAUAACCAUAAGAAAAGCAUUUGCUUCUGUAGAAGUUAAUCUGCUAGAAGAUGCAACUCAUGCACCUUUUGACUCUGUCACUUUGCCAAAACGUUCAAACUUGAUGCCUUGAAUUUGGAUGAUGACUUCUCUUAUGACGGGGCUCAAGAUAAUCAUCUCCGGAGCGAGGUGGAGAUAACACUUACAUGUGGGAGCAAUAAUGGGACCGCUGAUAACUAUUGUUGUCAUUGCUCUCAAGGAUUUGUAUGCUGAAUUUGUUUUGGAUGAAUUGAAGAAGAGUGAGACGUAGAGCGCUGCUAGGCAUGCUUUUAGUGCUUGCUUCCUGAGAAAUGUUCAUCGCUGCCUCAAAAACGCGUGUACAUUAUUGGUUGAGCUAAUUAGAACCCCAAAAAGAAAUAUCAGAAUUGUUUGCUUUAGAGUGGAUGUGUUUUUACCAAUCUGUUGGCAGUGCAUUUAUCAAGUUUUGUUGGCUGCAUUUUCUCUUUAGGACAGUCUUUUUGUUUUUGUUUUUGUUUUUUUUCUUCUAUUUAUGGCGUGAGCAUGGUGUAAAAAGUAAUCGAUCAAUCAUGUACUCCCUUGGUUGUUGGUUGUGUGCUCUUAAAAGAAUUUUGUACAAUUUCGAUAUAUUUAAUAUAUUUGUUGAUGUAGAAAGCUUAUUUGAUCCCUUUUUCUUUUUUUGGUAAUUUGGAUAAAAAAAGGUUGGUA